rnacentral:tRNA from 1 species
AUCUCAGCGACCGACCCGACUUCAAAGAGCCGCAGCUUCCCAAGCUCAGAGCGCGGGUUCGAUUCCCGUCACCCGCUCCA